rnacentral:lncRNA from 1 species
GUGCACCGGCCAACGUAUGGAAUGUGCCGAUGCUUUUGUACAGUUACCUUUCCCUAAUAUGUGCAAAGCUUGGAGCUUACGGCUUUGUAAGGGCCUGGCGCCGGCGCCGUGCUAGGUUGUAUGAGUAAAUGACAAGCUUUUACAUGUGCCUCGUGUGGAUUUUGCCGGUGCUGAAAAUAAGGAACACUGAUCAGCACGCGCAAUCUGACCUCUCGUAUGUACAGAAAGGCGCAUGGGAGCUUCUUUCCUUUACCUUUCGGCUUGACUCAUGGAGGAUAUUUGUCUUUUGAGUGUUUGAAAAAGAGAUGCAUCUUUGCAAGGUGUGCGUGUGGAAUUGUUUGGAAGUUGUUUGGAAGUUGUGUUGAGCAUUGGAGCGGGAAUUAAAGGUGAGAGCCUGUCGGUGGUGAUAUCGCCGGGGUUUCCUGAUAAGCCCCAUGACCUAUAGACACGUGUCCGCUUGACUUGAACGAGGGCGAAUGUCCGCUUGACUUGAACGAGGGCGAAUGUCCGCUUGACUUGAACGAGGGCGAAUGUCCGCUUGACUUGAACGAGGGCGAAUGUCCGCUUGACUUGAACGAGGGCGAAUUGCAUGCAUCUCAUGUUGUCGUGACGCGUUUGGAAGGUGCUGGUGCGGUACAGUUCGGGAUGAGUGUGAUGCGCCUGCGGGCAAGGUAAGAUUGUACGUUAUUUUAAGGAUAUGAAAGCUGUGCGCAAUGUAAAUUUGGAUAGUGGAUACUGACGAUGUGCGAGGCUCGGGGAGUCGGAUGCGAGCUAUGUGUUAACCCAGCGCUGCUUGUGUUCCCUGCGCUGCAUUUAGCUCAGCAAGCACCUGCAAAUCAACACGCUUUAUCAGCUGCGUUUUGAAGAUAUGUAGGUUAUUUCUAUUUUAUAAAAGUGUAGAGAUACCAUGGCUAGGAGGGUUUUACGUUGGAUUGGGCAAAGCGGAGUGCCCGCGCAGCAUGCCCGCGCAGCAUGCCCGCGCAGCGUUGCCCGCGCAGCAUGCCCGUGCAGCAUGCCCGUGCAGCAUCGCCCGCGCAGCGUUGCCCGCGCAGCGUUGCCCGCGCAGCACGCCCGUGCAGUAUCGCCCGCGCUGGCAGCCUGGAGAUCACGAAUCCAUGUAUUCCGGUUUCACGACUUAAUGAAUCCACGAGUUGUUCUGGAACCCUACCCUCACCGCUGCGAUGAUUUGCCGAACAACACCGAACCAGGCCAGACCCGCCCAGGGCCGGUCAAAAUGACGUUAGCUAAAGGAAGGGGGAUGUUAUAAACGAAGGUACAAUGCCGAAAAACGUUCUGUCAGUCCAUAGUUGUCCCGCCACUCGCACGCCAAGGCCUUAGCGACCGGUAAAAUAGUUGUUACGUGGCGAAACUUGCAAAUGCAAAUUGAACUGCCGAUAAGUUUUGGGCUAUAUCCCUGGCUUGCAAAUUGCGCUUUUGUAAAUCGCAGAGUGCGCGGAAGGCACCUUCGGAGAUAGCUACGGCAUUACUGGGUUCGUGGGAUACGGGAGCGCGUUCUAAGCAAAUGAUAGGUGCCACCGAACCAAACGAGGGGUAAUGCGCACAUUUUUGGCAUUGUUGGGGCGACUGGCCAGCUCUGCGCACGCUGGAUACAGUCCGUGUCCAACUGCCUGUGAAAUCCAGACGUACUUGCAAGUGGAGCAUCACCGUCGUAAAGACUGCUUCCCAAGCUUCAAUGCUCCAUGUUUGUUUAGAACGAAUCAUGAGCGUGUGAGUUGCUUCCUGGAUCCAUGCCCAACUCAGCGGCAUGAGGCUUGAGCUACUCCACCAUAACUUAGAUUACACCCAGGGCUGAUGUCCGCUCUGAUUAUAACUUAAGCAUAGAAACCCACAGCAACAAUUAAUCUCAAGAAGGAAGGUGGAAGAACAACCAUAAGCUAGCUGUUGCGAG